rnacentral:misc_RNA from 1 species
GUUGAAGAACGUAGCGAAAUGCGAUAAGUAAUGUGAAUUGCAGAAUUCAGUGAAUCAUCGAAUCUUUGAACGCACAUUGCGCCCGCCAGUAUUCUGGCGGGCAUGCCUGUUCGAGCGUCAUUUCAACCAUCAUGCCCCAGGCUUGUGUUGGGGACCUGCGGCUGCCGCAGGCCCUGAAAACCAGUGGCGGGCUCGCUGUCACACCGGGCGUAAUAGAUUUUAUCUCGCUCAGGGCGUGCUGCGGGUCCCGGCCGUUAAAAGCCUUUUUUUACCCAAGGUUGACCUCGGAUCAGGUAGGAAGACCCGCUGAACUUAAGCAUAUCAAUAAGCGGAGGA